UGGGGAAUAUUGCACAAUGGAGGGAACUCUGAUGCAGCGACGCCGCGGGAACGAAGAAGGCUUUCGAGUCGUAAAGUUCUUUUAUAUGGGAAGAUAAUGACGGUACCAUAAGAAAAAGCCCCGGCUAACUACGUGCCAGCAGCCGCGGUAAUACGUAGGGGGCUAGCGUUGUCCGGAAUCACUGGGCGUAAAGGGUUCGCAGGCGGAAAUGCAAGUCAGGUGUAAAAGGCAGUAGCUUAACUACUGUAAGCAUUUGAAACUGCAUAUCUUGAGAAGAGUAGAGGUAAGUGGAAUUUUUAGUGUAGCGGUGAAAUGCGUAGAUAUUAAAAAGAAUACCGGUGGCGAAGGCGACUUACUGGGCUCAUUCUGACGCUGAGGAACGAAAGCGUGGGUAGCAAACAGG
rnacentral:rRNA from 1 species